rnacentral:tRNA from 1 species
AGGAGUGUAGCUCAACUGGCAGAGCGUCGGUCUCCAAAACCGAAGGUUGUGGGUUCGAGUCCCUCCACUCCUGCCA